rnacentral:lncRNA from 7 species
CCCUUGGACUGAUCUAACAUAUGGUUUCCAAAUCUGCCGGCACUCUUCCUGUGAUGGCCCCUUCCUCUCUUGAUAGAUCGAUUCAUUUUGAGUAGUCUAUGUACAAAUGGCAUCAUGCGAGGUACUCGAGGGAAUCAGCUUUGUUCGUUUUUAUGCUCGUGCGUUUUAUAUAUGAUUACAUUUUUCUUGAGCAUGAGUGGUCUCAUAUUGAUGUAACGUUGUUUGAUUCUAGCUAUAUUUGUACAAAUUAGGAUAGGUAUGUUGCAUUUUCACUUUGUGGUCAUUAUUAGUACUUUAGUUUUUAGUAUUGAUCGAUAAUGAACACAAUAACUGGACAUUUCUAGAACCAUUACAGUUUAUCCCGUAUUUAAUCAGCUUUGAAACUAUGCUCAAGCUUUCCCCUACUUAGGAUUUGGAAAACUCUUCGGUUAUGAGAAGGUCUGGUUCAGUCUCUAAUGACAUAAUAUUGAGGCACUACAUUUGAAUAAUCGAUAGAUAUCAGAGAAAUACUUGUUCUAUAAAUAGAGAAGGGCAACUUUUUUUGAGACCAGAGAGG